rnacentral:lncRNA from 1 species
CGGAGCUGGGGCGCGGCGGAGCCGGGAGCUGCCCGCGUCUAGAGCCCGCUCGGCGCGCCAUGGAGCUCGGGGGCCCGGGGGCGCCGCCGCCGCCGCUGCUGCCGCCGCUGCUGCUGCUUCUGGGGGUCGGCCUCCUGCCCGAGGAGAGGAGAAACCCAGGCGGAGAGUCAGGCAGCACAUGCAAAGGUCCUGAGUGAGCAGCGAUGUGGAGACCCAGGCCCACGCCGAGGAGCGGCUGCUGAAAAAACUCUUCUCUGGCUACAACAAGUGGUCCCGGCCUGUGGCCAACAUCUCGGAUGUGGUCUUUGUCCACUUCGGCCUGUCCAUUGCACAGCUCAUUGACGUGGACGAGAAGAAUCAGAUGAUGACAACGAAUGUGUGGGUGAAGCAAG